UGGGGAAUAUUGGACAAUGGGCGAAAGCCUGAUCCAGCCAUGCCGCGUGUGUGAAGAAGGUCUUCGGAUUGUAAAGCACUUUAAGUUGGGAGGAAGGGCAUUAACCUAAUACGUUAGUGUUUUGACGUUACCGACAGAAUAAGCACCGGCUAACUCUGUGCCAGCAGCCGCGGUAAUACAGAGGGUGCAAGCGUUAAUCGGAAUUACUGGGCGUAAAGCGCGCGUAGGUGGUGUGUUAAGUUGGAUGUGAAAUCCCCGGGCUCAACCUGGGAACUGCAUUCAAAACUGACUGACUAGAGUAUGGUAGAGGGUGGUGGAAUUUCCUGUGUAGCGGUGAAAUGCGUAGAUAUAGGAAGGAACACCAGUGGCGAAGGCGACCACCUGGACAAAGACUGACGCUCAGGUGCGAAAGCGUGGGGAGCAAACA
rnacentral:rRNA from 1 species